AUUGAACGCUGGCGGCAGGCCUAACACAUGCAAGUCGAACGGUAGCACAGAGAGCUUGCUCUCGGGUGGCGAGUGGCGGACGGGUGAGUAACGUCUGGGAAACUGCCCGAUGGAGGGGGAUAACUACUGGAAACGGUAGCUAAUACCGCAUAACGUCGCAAGACCAAAGUGGGGGACCUUCGGGCCUCACACCAUCGGAUGUGCCCAGAUGGGAUUAGCUAGUAGGUGGGGUAAUGGCUCACCUAGGCGACGAUCCCUAGCUGGUCUGGGAGGAUGACCAGCCACACUGGAACGGAGAGACGGUCCAGACGCCUACGGGGGGCAGCAGUGGGGAAUAUUGCACAAUGGGCGCAAGCCCGAUGCAGCCAUGCGGCGUGUAUGAAGAAGGCCUUCGGGUUGUAAAGUACUUUCAGCGGGGAGGAAGGCGGUGAAGUUAACAGCUUCACCGAUUGACGUUACCCGCAGAAGAAGCACCGGCUAACUCCGUGCCAGCCGCCGCCGUAA
rnacentral:rRNA from 1 species